AACGCGAAGAACCUUACCUGGACUCGAAAUGCAGUUGACCGCCUCAGAGAUGAGGUUUUCCCGCAAGGGACUACUGUAUAGGUGCUGCAUGGCUGUCGUCAGCUCGUGUCGUGAGAUGUUGGGUUAAGUCCCGCAACGAGCGCAACCCUCAUCCUUAGUUGCUCGCCCGAAAGGGAAGCACCCUAAGGAAACUGCCUCCGAUAAGGGGGAGGAAGGUGGGGAUGACGUCAAGUCCUCAUGGCCUUUAUGCCCAGGGCUACACACGUGCUACAAUGGCCGGUACAGACCGUUGCCAACCUGCGAAGGGGAGCCAAUCGGUAAAAACCGGUCUCAGUUCGGAUUGCAGUCUGCAACUCGACUGCAUGAAGCUGGAAUCGCUAGUAAUCGCGUAUCAGAACGACGCGGUGAAUACGUUCCCGGGCCUUGUA
rnacentral:rRNA from 1 species